UGGUGGGUGAUCCGGUGAUCCUAUGCUGCCUAGAAAAGCAUCGGCGCGAGGUUCAAACUGCCCGUACCCUAAACCGACACAGGUGGUCAGGUAGAGAAUACUAAGGCGAUCGAGAGAAUCAUGGUUAAGGAACUCGGCAAAAUGCCCCCGUAACUUCGGGAGAAGGGGGGCCCUAACCUUGAGCACCACUUGCUGGUGUGAGGGGAUCGGGGCCGCAGAGACCAGGGGGAAGCGACUGUUUAUCAAAAACACAGGUCCAUGCGAAGUCGUAAGACGAUGUAUAUGGACUGACUCCUGCCCGGUGCUGGAAGGUUAAGGGGACCUGUUAGCUUCGGCGAAGCGGAGAACUUAAGCCCCAGUAAACGGCGGUGGUAACUAUAACCAUCCUAAGGUAGCGAAAUUCCUUGUCGGGUAAGUUCCGACCUGCACGAAUGGAGUAACGACUUCCCCGCUGUCUCAACCGUGAACUCGGCGAAAUUGCAUUACGAGUAAAGAUGCUCGUUACGCGCAGAAGGACGGAAAGACCCCGUGACCUUUACUAUAGUUUGGUAUUGGUGUUCGGUGUGGCUUGUGUAGGAUAGGUGGGAGACUGUGAAGCGGGCACGCCAGUGUUCGUGGAGUCGUCGUUGAAAUACCACUCUGGUCACUCUGGAUAUCUAACUUCGGCCCGUGAUCCGGGUCAGGGACAGUGCCUGAUGGGUAGUUUAACUGGGGCGGUUGCCUCCCAAAAUGUAACGGAGGCGCCCAAAGGUUCCCUCAGCCUGGUUGGCAAUCAGGUGUCGAGUGCAAGUGCACAAGGGAGCUUGACUGUGAGAGUGGCAGCUCGAGCAGGGACGAAAGUCGGGACUAGUGAUCCGGCGGCUCGUUGUGGAACGGCCGUCGCUCAACGGAUAAAAGGUACCUCGGGGAUAACAGGCUGAUCUUGCCCAAGAGUCCAUAUCGACGGCAUGGUUUGGCACCUCGAUGUCGGCUCGUCGCAUCCUGGGGCUGGAGUAGGUCCCAAGGGUUGGGCUGUUCGCCCAUUAAAGCGGUACGCGAGCUGGGUUCAGAACGUCGUGAGACAGUUCGGUCCCUAUCCUCUGCGCGCGUUGGAAAUUUGAGAAGGUCUGUCCUUAGUACGAGAGGACCGGGACGGACGAACCUCUGGUAUGUCAGUUGUACCGCCAGGUGCAUGGCUGAUUAGCUACGUUCGGGAUGGAUAACCGCUGAAAGCAUCUAAGCGGGAAGCCGGCUUCGAGAUGAGAUUUCCUUGCCCCUUUGAGGGUGUGAGGCCCCCAGCUAGAACACUGGGUUGAUAGGCUGGAUGUGGAAGCGAGGACUGAAGACUCGUGAAGCUGACCAGUACUAAUAGGCCGAUGACUUACACAC
rnacentral:rRNA from 1 species